rnacentral:rRNA from 1 species
UACGAAGGGGGCUAGCGUUGCUCGGAAUUACUGGGCGUAAAGCGCACGUAGGCGGCUCUUUAAGUCAGGGGUGAAAUCCUGGAGCUCAACUCCAGAACUGCCUUUGAUACUGAGGGUCUUGAGUUCGGGAGAGGUGAGUGGAACUGCGAGUGUAGAGGUGAAAUUCGUAGAUAUUCGCAAGAACACCAGUGGCGAAGGCGGCUCACUGGCCCGAUACUGACGCUGAGGUGCGAAAGCGUGGGGAGCAAACAGG